CCACUGCUGAGGAGUCCCAUAAUAGGACGAAACGGCCGUCCAGUUC
rnacentral:hammerhead_ribozyme from 1 species